GGCUGGUCCGAAGUUAUCUCAAUUGAUUGUUUACAGUCAGUUACAGAUUGAACUCCUUUACUCUCUCCCCUCUUCUCACUACUGCAUUUGACUGGGUCUUAA
rnacentral:Y_RNA from 1 species